rnacentral:rRNA from 1 species
UUAUGAAUAAGGAUCGGCUAACUCCGUGCCAGCAGCCGCGGUAAUACGGAGGAUCCGAGCGUUAUCCGGAUUUAUUGGGUUUAAAGGGAGCGUAGAUGGAUGUUUAAGUCAGUUGUGAAAGUUUGCGGCUCAACCGUAAAAUUGCAGUUGAUACUGGAUAUCUUGAGUGCAGUUGAGGCAGGCGGAAUUCGUGGUGUAGCGGUGAAAUGCUUAGAUAUCACGAAGAACUCCGAUUGCGAAGGCAGCCUGCUAAGCUGCAACUGACAUUGAGGCUCGAAAGUGUGGGUAUCAAACAGGAUUAGAUACCCUGGUAGUCCACACGGUAAACGAUGAAUACUCGCUGUUUGCGAUAUACUGCAAGCGGCCAAGCGAAAGCGUUAAGUAUUCCACCUGGGGAGUACGCCGGCAACGGUGAAACUCAAAGGAAUUGACGGGGGCCCGCACAAGCGGAGGAACAUGUGGUUUAAUUCGAUGAUACGCGAGGAACCUUACCCGGGCUUAAAUUGCAGAUGAAUUACGGUGAAAGCCGUAAGCCGCAAGGCAUCUGUGAAGGUGCUGCAUGGUUGUCGUCAGCUCGUGCCGUGAGGUGUCGGCUUAAGUGCCAUAACGAGCGCAACCCUUGUUGUCAGUUACUAACAGGUUCCGCUGAGGACUCUGACAAGACUGCCAUCGUAAGAUGUGAGGAAGGUGGGGAUGACGUCAAAUCAGCACGGCCCUUACGUCCGGGGCUACACACGUGUUACAAUGGGGGGUACAGAGGGCCGCUACCACGCGAGUGGAUGCCAAUCCCCAAAACCUCUCUCAGUUCGGACUGGAGUCUGCAACCCGACUCCACGAAGCUGGAUUCGCUAGUAAUCGCGCAUCAGCCACGGCGCGGUGAAUACGUUCCCGGGCCUUGUACACACCGCCCGUCAAGCCAUGGGAGCCGGGGGUACCUGAAGUGCGUAACCGCGAGGAGCGCCCUAGGGUAAAACUGGUGACUGGGGCUAAGUCGUAACAAGGUAGCCGUACCGGAAGGUGCGGCUG